GGGAAGGACCUGACUGGGAAGCUCCUGUGAAGGCACUGGGGACGGAAGCCUCUCCAGGCGGGCUCGAAGCCCUACGGCGGGAGGAACCCGAGGAGGUGACUGACCCAGAGGCCUGCAGUGAACCUAGGGACUCGUGGGAGAGACCCCAACUCUCAAGCUGCAUAGCCCAUGGCAGUGGGCUGGGCAGAUAAGACUUCACUGAAAUCAAGAACACACACAUGGACACAAAGAAAGCAGUCAAAAUGCUCAUGCAGCAAAAGGAUUUUGUUCACUGUUUAAAUGAAAGUGUUUGGAAUUCUCUGUAGCCCCCUGUAUCUGUUUUUAUAUCCAUGAUGACUGGCUUUUUUUAAAUCUGAGCAUUUGAAUCAAAAGGCACUUUAAUCCAGCCAGCUCAUCACUCGUUUUUUCAGUAAUUUUAGGAUGCAAUUCAGUAAGGAUUUCUUACUGCAUCUCGAUAGAUUAUUACAACUGUCUGUUCCUGUCUUUGCUCCUAAGGAUCAAGGGAAAAACCUAUGUACUUGAAAAAUCCAUUGACUACAGGAAAGGGGAGAAAAAAGUCCUUCCUGUGAAAAGACAACUGAAAUGGAACAGCAAAGCAUUACAAAUCAUUUUGUGUUUAACAUAUGUUAGGUUUCUCCUUAUCACACCAGCCAGCAUUUGAUCGGAGAGGUGGCACUGAAUGUGUGGCGUCUGAAUGUCAGCAUCCCAGGCUAGGAAAGAAGAGCACGACUUUUGACAUCGUCUUGUAUAUUUGCAGGUGUCUGCGUUCCUUAAAGAAAGGGAAAAGGAACUUUGAGUUCAGUGUCUCAUUGGGGCCCAGGUAAAUAAAAAAAAGAUUAGCAGCUUUUGGCUGACCUGAAUUAUGAGAGCCUGGAUCAGAGCUGUACUCUAUUGCCCAAGUGUCAGUAGGGAAGUAUGAAAUGUGAGAUCAGUUAAUAUGGAUUUUAAUGUACAUUUUUCUCUAUCUACAUGAUUAAUACAGUGGCGUUCUCAAUUA